CGAGAGAUACGGGGCGACGACCCGCAGCCUCACAUCCGGGCACUUCGACUGCGGCGAGCCAGUAGUGCGACCGACGUACCCAACC
rnacentral:ncRNA from 1 species